UACGUAGGGUGCGAGCGUUGUCCGGAAUUAUUGGGCGUAAAGAGCUCGUAGGCGGUCUGUCGCGCCGAAUGUGAAAACCCGGGGCUCAACUCCGGGCCUGCAGUCGAUACGGGCUGGCUUGAGUGCGGUAGGGGAGACUGGAAUUCCUGGUGUAGCGGUGAAAUGCGCAGAUAUCGAGAGGAACACCUGCGGCGAAGGCGGGUAGCUGGGCCGACACUGACGCUGAUGCGCGAAAGCCAGGGGAGCGAACGGG
rnacentral:rRNA from 1 species